ensembl:miRNA MIR367 microRNA 367
AGGCCACUACUGUUGCUAACAUGCAACUCUGUUGUGUAAAAGCUGGAAUUGCACUUUAGCAAUGGUGAUGGAC